rnacentral:lncRNA from 1 species
CCGCGGCCCGCGGGGGACAGGGCGGCCCACAGGGAGAGCCCCGAGGAAACGGGGAAGUGGAAGGUCCCCGUCCCCAGCUCCACGAGGCGCCCCCCUCGGUAAACGGUGGGAAAAAGGGGUUAAAGCAAAUAGUCCCAGCUGGCGUCCCGCUCUGCCUGGGAACAACCGCUUAACUUAAUCCUGGCUGGGUUCCACCCCACGGCAUGGCAAUGGCAGCGAGCUCUUCGGGGAGGUGGGGAAGCGGCAGCAGCACCGCCGGCGAAGGUUUAAAAACAAACCCGAAAGCAGCGCGUGAGCAGAAACGAGGGAUUAAAGGGAGUUUAGUGGAGCUUUGCUGGUGUGACACAAAUCCUGCAGUGAUAGAGUUGCAUUUGUUUAGUACUUCACAUGGUAAGUAAAGAGAUUCCUUCUUAGGGAUAAAGAUUGACAAUCCAGUCAAGAAUUAAAUGUAGAAAUGAAGGGCUCAAAAGGAAUCCAUAAAAAUAACUUUUAAAAUAAUAAUUAUAAUUGUUAUAAUUUUAUUAAUUAUGAGAUAGAGGGGGAAAUAUUCAAUUUUGGGGGUUCUAAACCAGUACCAUGGCCUUGAUCCUUUAUUAAAAUCCAUAUCUCUGUAAUAAAAAUUAAAGUCUGUUAGAACUUAGCCUAGGA